rnacentral:rRNA from 1 species
CCUAAUACAUGCAAGUCGAGCGGACCGACGGGAGCUUGCUCCCUUAGGUCAGCGGCGGACGGGUGAGUAACACGUGGGUAACCUGCCUGUAAGACUGGGAUAACUCCGGGAAACCGGGGCUAAUACCGGAUGCUUGAUUGAACCGCAUGGUUCAAUCAUAAAAGGUGGCUUUUAGCUACCACUUGCAGAUGGACCCGCGGCGCAUUAGCUAGUUGGUGAGGUAACGGCUCACCAAGGCGACGAUGCGUAGCCGACCUGAGAGGGUGAUCGGCCACACUGGGACUGAGACACGGCCCAGACUCCUACGGGAGGCAGCAGUAGGGAAUCUUCCGCAAUGGACGAAAGUCUGACGGAGCAACGCCGCGUGAGUGAUGAAGGUUUUCGGAUCGUAAAACUCUGUUGUUAGGGAAGAACAAGUACCGUUCGAAUAGGGCGGCACCUUGACGGUACCUAACCAGAAAGCCACGGCUAACUACGUGCCAGCAGCCGCGGUAAUACGUAGGUGGCAAGCGUUGUCCGGAAUUAUUGGGCGUAAAGCGCGCGCAAGCGG